AUGGCUGCACAGCCCCCUAGCGAGGCCUCGGUGAGGAGCGAAGGAUGCGAGGAGCAGCAGGUUUCCGUGGAGCGCAGACUCUUUGUUGGGAACACCUCUGCUUUUAAGAAGACUUCUGUGGUCCUUGUUUACUAUGUAGGAGGCUCGCCCGUUCCCAGGCCUCAAAGGACAGUCUGUAAAUUCUGGAAGCUUCCGGCAGCGUUGGGUUGUGGUGCCCGCGCGCUCGCUGUCCGCCCCCCUGCUGCCGUCUGCCCUUCGGGCUGUCGGAUGGUCAGGCCGGGGCAGCCUCGGGAGCGCUCCAGCAGGAGGCUAACAGCGAUCCAUUGUGGUCGACACGACCGUGCGGACGCUGUGCUACAAGCUGAGGACAGAAUUAGGGGCAGGCCCUUGCCAGGUGCUCAGCGUGCGCAGCAGGACGGGCUCCACAGGCACCAACGAUUCCGCGGUGUGUCAGCGUCCACCCGCCCCCCCAUGCCGACGCAGGCCCCCGUGUGAGCCCAGUCGUGUCUCCCGAGGCCCGGUCUCCACGGACAGUCCACGCAGGAAUCCGCCCGCAGCCGACCGUCACCCCACGGGCCUACCUCCUCUCCAGCACGCCAAGAACACCCUACGAUCUAGGGAAAAUACCACAGAACAGUGUUCUCAUCUCGGCGGAGAAAGAAACUUUAUACUUAGACAAGAUUCUUAAAAAAUUUAUUUUUUAAAAAAAAUCUAUUAACAGCGAAGGGAAAAUGUAAAACAGUGACUACGUUCAUGUUAUGAAUUUUUCUUUCUCAGAGAUGCCUCGAAGACCGUGAACAGGCAGCGUUGGGAGAAGCGGGCUACGCGCGAGGAGCACGGGGAGCACGCGGUCCCGGUGGGAGCACACGCAGGGCUCGCACGUCCACCGGUACAGAAUCAGGCCAAGCGUGGACAGGCGCUUCCUGGGGUGGCUCGCUGGGGACGACGGCACACGAUGUCCACGGCCAAUUAGGCUGUGAAAUCAGAGAGACCCGGAGGAGCACCGUCGGCCCAUCCUGCCCACUAUGCCUGAGGCCCCCAGUGCGACGCGGGGACGCUCCUUCGCCCAGGACACCACCACUCACUCUGAGCCUGAACGUCCUUAAUGUCUCAGAACCAAAGUGUGAGCGAAGAAAAGUCGCAGGGAAACUUGAUGCACGUGUGUUGACUCACAGAAAGUCGAACGCACGUGAGCUGGGGCCGUACGUGACACGGUGCACGCGCCUGUACAAUUGCGGAACCCAAGGACACGGGAAGGGCAGGUUGAGGAUGUCACUUGUUUCUGGAUGCAGGCAGGGCUGGAGGCCACGGGUCCAGGGGGUGCAGGGAAGGGGUGAGGCCAGGGGCCGGGGGGUGCAGGGAAGGGGUGAGGCCAGGGGCUGGGGAGCAGGUGUGUUGAUGGCGUCCUCUGUCCUCGGGGGCACAAGCUACAAGGGUCCCGGUUUAUCACCACAGCCCCAAGUGUGCUCUGCUUUUUAGUCAUUAAUAAGAUGUA
rnacentral:lncRNA from 1 species